AUAAAAAGAAUACAGUUAGAAAAGCAAUCCAAGGCUCAGCAUCAAGGGGGUUUCACUGAGAGAGUGAGCGAGUGAGAAUGAUGGAAAAGACCAGAACUGUCCUGCGCUUAAUCAUGCAGUUCCAGGGGACCAACCCUGUGACCUGUCGUAACCUCUGAUUUUACCGGAGUACAAAUGUGGGACACCGGCCCCUUGGAAAAAUAUCAGAAAACUUUGCAAAACAAGGUGACUCAACUGUAACAAGUGAAGUGGAAAAUACUAAGUGACACGCCAUGGACAUUUAAGUGGUAGCGCUUGGGUCAUCCACCGCAAUUGCUCCCCAUUGCUGUGAACGGAAAAGCCACGCCCCUGCCUCAACCAACCGUACUGUCUGCCAGGUAGAGCUCAGCCCUGAGCUCGAUUGCCCUCCCAAAGGGGGCUUGGUUCAGCUUGUCUGGGUCAGAAAGGCCUAGCCCCAAUUUCUACGCUGUCGUCUUGCUGAUCAGAGCAGAGCCUAAAAGAGACGUUUCAUUUUCAAGGGCAGACAGGAAGAGGAGGUUUUUUGUGGCCAAGGCCCUGGGCUGGGACUCCAGAGAUCUGGGUUCAACUCCCAGAUGUGCCAGAGACUUCCUGUGUGACCAUGGGCAAAUCACUUAAUCCCUCUGUGCUUCUGUUCCCAAUCUGUAAUAACAAUACUUCCCUGUCACAGACGGGUACUGUGAAGCACUCAGCUACUAUGGUGAUGGCAGAUUUUGUUUAUUUGUAUGGUGGUGACACCUGAAGUCUCUAAUUAUGGACAGGGCCCUGUUGUACUAGGUACUGUGCAGACGCACAACACAGAUGACAACCCCUGCUCUGACGCACUUACCAGCUAAGGUCACGUCUGCACUUGGAGCUAGACGUGCGAUUCCCAGCUCACGUAGAUGGAUUCGUACUAGCACACUAAAAAUAGGAG